rnacentral:ncRNA from 1 species
ACACAACUCUGGAGAGUCCCUUAAAUGGGCGCCGAAGGUGCAAGCCUGCUUAAAGCAGGCCAAUCUCUCAGGCCAAUGGACGGAGCA